GGGUGAGGCACUGUAGCUGAAAAUUUAACUUUGAUUUCAAUUUUCAUAUUUGUCAGCAAUAAUUAGAUUCACGAAAUGUUUUGCCACUGUUCUAAAAUACUAAUAAGUAGAGGCCUUUGUAGUGUGGUUAAUGGAGUCUUUUUUUCCUAGUGGUCUAGAAAAAUUCCAUUAAGGCGAAAAGUCAUACUAUAUUACAGCGCUUCGACAUCCACGGACCCUGCUGUCGCGUUAACACCAUCCCAGAGACCGGAGCCCUUCAUUGACUAGAGCCCCUGGCUGCAAAGGGAGUUGGGGCUUCAUAAGCCUCAGCUGUCCAUCAUUUCCGACCUGCAAGGACCUCCCUGGGUCGUGGGGGAAGCCAGCCAGCCAGAGACCAAAAGAGAAGCAAAUUCAAUAAAGCAGCAUUGUUGAAAGGAUGAACCUCCAUAAGCAUUGCCUCCUGGAGCAGGUGGAACAGAGGGCAGGAGGAGGGGGUGGUCAGGUGGGCGCCUGGCCCUGCCUGGGAAGUGUGGCUCGUGCUCAGGGAGAGGAAGUCCAUUCUCCAUCCAUCACCAGACUGGAGUCCCUCCUGGUGGUUUAAGGCUAACGUCCCACCAAGGUAGAACCUGCCUGUAUGUCCUGUCUCCCCUCCAUUCCUCUCUGCAAAGGCUGGGUUCUCUGGAGACAAGGUUUGAUUAAAAAGUGUGAGGUCUGUUAUUUUUGAGGGACUUGUCCCUGGGGUGUCUCAACCUCUGCCUAAGGUCCCAGGGAACUCCCUGCAGGCAGGAUGUCCUGGGCUAAGUGACUGCAUUUGCCUGGGUAAGCACAUGAUUGUCCACACUCUGCAGAGUUCCCUGGAGAGGGGAGCUGGGGCAUCCCCAUCUCUCUUGCCCCAUCUCAACACCAUGGCCCCGCAGCCAUGCUGGGCUCACUUGAGCGCCUGGCAUCUUGCUGGAACUCCUAGGCAGGCUGCUGCUGCAGAGACGGGGCCUCUUAGCUGACCUUGGAAUCUGGUGAACUUGAACUCUGCCGUGAUGUUCUUAGCCCUCCUCCUCCCCUAAGUUCUGAAGAGCAGCCCCGAGCUCUCAGUCUUGAGGCACCCAGAGCGACAGAAGAAAGCAAGCCCAGUGGACAUGUGUGGUCCCCUCCACUGGCCCACAACACACAGGCGGGCAGACGUGUACAGGCAAACUUUUCUCCCCUCUUGGCUUUCCUUUCUUCUCUCUCCGAGAGACUUGGAUUUAUCAUCGUUCUGUUAAGCAGGAGAACUCCUGUGGCUAUUUAUAAUUAAUGCUCAGAAACCUGCCAAUCCAUUUAAUGACACUGGCAGGUCAUGGCCCCCUUAUAGCUCUCCAUUAAUCAUCAUUAGAACAGCUCCGAGUUUUUACAUUCUUUUUAAAUGUUAAUUCACCUCUGUAAUGCUCCUUUUAGUUAAAACUGUAAAGAGGCAAGUGGCUGGUGCCUUGGUGCUCCCACCAGGGGAAAGGCAUGGUGGAGUUGAUAAAGCCUGGCUGGCUUUCUCUGUUCUUCUGUCCUCCACCCCCUGUCCCCACCACCAGAUGUCAACCCAGUGUGUUCUUUGGCUGCCUAUAUUUAUCUUUAGAAAAAGUGUCUAGUGACAUAACGUUCUGGGCAAACAUACUCUGAUAUCUUUGGACUCCUGGGCCCAUGGCGACAACCUGUGAGGAGUCGCUGGCCUGGUGUCCCCACUGGGUUCUGUAGCUCCUUAAGGUGAUGGGGCAGAAAGGGCUCCAGAGGUAAGUGAGACUGAGAACGGCCCUUGUGGUUUUUCCAACACCCACAAACACGCUGCCCACGCGCAGCUAAAAGGGGUCACAGCCCAUGAAGAAUGUUCUUGGGGUCAGGAAAGCUUGCCACUCGUCUCACUUUUGCCACUAAUGGGCUCUGAGCUUUUGGGCAAAACACUUCCCCUCCUUCUUCAGCUAUAAAACGGGGCCCUUAUCUCCCCUGCCUAAUACAUGAGGUUAAAUCUGUAAAGAUUAAAUGGAGUUGAGAUUGUAUAAAACUUUUAAAAUGGCUGCUCUGGAUGCAAAGUGGCUGGUCUCGCCCCUCCCUGCUUCUCCACACACCUAGCCUGCCCUCCUGCCCUGGAUCAUUCAUACCUCAAACUUCCAUAGCUCUUGCUUUAUAUCAUCUUUUUCAAGCCAGAAAAGCAUAUUUUGAAUCAUCAAAGUCCACAAAGCAGAAAGAAUGUAAAAUUGGGAAUGGGGCGACCCCUUAGUUUGAGUACCCACGCUGUUACUUAUUCGCUGUGUAAUUCUGAGCAACUUGCCUUGCCUCUCUGAGCUUCGGGUCUUUUAUUUUUGGAUCUUGUGUUUGUGAGGCCCCUUGAUCUAGAAAAUCCUGUGAUUUUUGUUCCUGCCCAUGAGUCUGUCUAAAGGGCCACGGCAGUGACUCAGACCUAACAGGGACAAACUGGCCCCUUUGCCCAUCAGAACUCUUACUUUUGCAUUGUCUUGUCAAGCAACAUGGCCUAGAGUUUAGAAUUCUAAAAGGGCAAACACAAGUAGAUGGGGGGGACAGAAAAUAUAUAUUUAAUUCAGUUUUGACUCUGAUGUCUUUUGACACCACAUACCUUGGUUCCAAACACUUUGCACAAUAGACUUGACCUUGUUUUCAAGGCUGCCUCAAAUCUGCUGGUUGAGCUGGGAUGACCCCUCAGGCGUGAGGGUUCCAGGCACCUAACCCUUUUUAAUCCUUCUUCAAAAUAAGUUCCCCUCAUUUUCUGCAUAAGUAAACUGAGGCUCAAAGAGGAAAUGUGAGGGAGUUCCCUUGUGGUGCAGUGGGUUAAGGACCUGGCAUUGUCUCUGUCUUGGCUCAGGUCACUGCUGUGGCUCAGAUUUGAUCCCUGGCCCAGGGAACUUCCGUGUGCCCUGGGAACAGCCAAAAAAGAAGAAAGAAAGAAAGAAA
rnacentral:lncRNA from 1 species